ensembl:snoRNA SNORD79 Small nucleolar RNA SNORD79
AGCUGUCAAUGAUGAUUUUUUGUUUUAAACAAUGGGAAUCUCUCUGAAAAAGAGUGAAAGAUGACUUUUUUCUGAUGCAGUG